rnacentral:rRNA from 1 species
CAGCAGCCACGGUAAAACGUAGGUGGCAAGCGUUGUCCGGAAUUAUUGGGCGUAAAGGGCUCGCAGGCGGUUUCUUAGGUCUGAUGUGAAAGCCCCCGGCUCAACCGAGGAGGGUCAUUGGAAACUGGGAAACUUGAGUGCAGAAGAGGAGAGUGGAAUUCCACGUGUAGCGGUGAAAUGCGUAGAGAUGUGGAGGAACACCAGUGGCGAAGGCGACUCUCUGGUCUGUAACUGACGCUGAGGAGCGAAAGCGUGGGGAGCGAACAGGAUUAGAUACCCCUGUAGUCCCUGUCUCUUAUAC